rnacentral:rRNA from 1 species
UUUAUGGAGAGUUUGAUCCUGGCUCAGGACGAACGCUGGCGGCGUGCCUAAUACAUGCAAGUCGAGCGGACUGAUUAAGAGCUUGCU